rnacentral:rRNA from 1 species
UACGAAGGGGGCUAGCGUUGUUCGGAAUUACUGGGCGUAAAGGGUGCGUAGGUGGUUAGGUAAGUCCGAUGUGAAAUCUCCAGGCUCAACCUGGAAAUGGCAUUGGAUACUAUUUAGCUUGAGGAGUGGAGGGGGGACUGGAAUUCUCGGUGUAGCAGUGAAAUGCGUAGAUAUCGAGAGGAACACCAGUGGCGAAGGCGAGUCCCUGGACACUUCCUGACACUGAGGCACGAAAGCUAGGGGGAGCAAAACAGG